AUGCUGGUUGAAGGCGGGUUCCGACGUGAGACACCCCGAAACCUGCUCCCCUGUGAGAACAAAGGCAGGUGCCGAGCGAGAGCCUGGUUGGUGCCGGACGCUCCCCGGCGUACUCCGGGCCCCAGAGAUUGCUCUGCCCACUGGAGCCGAGUUCCGUGCACACUGGAACCCCAGCUCCCCACCCAGCCCUGGCUGAAACCACAUAAGACUGUGCGUUAUGACAUCACCUGUUUUCGGGCUGGAGAACGCGAUCAGUAUUCUCGGCUUCUGCUUUUCUUAAAGGUCGCUAGCGUACGAGGAUCCGUGAAGGCCUGCAGUUGGCAGAAUGAAUCUGUGGAGAUGAUUUACACGAAUGAUUUCACUGACUUCUUCGUCUUUCCCCUGGGGGCACCCAAAGCCUUGGAUUGCAGGGGCCUAAGACCAGUCAGUACUACUCCGAAGGAGGAAUUAAGAAGAUGUGAUCCAAAAGGGGCUCUGCUUGAGCGCCGCUUCCCCUUCCACCCUCUCCAUCGCCCACCUCCACCAGGAAAAUUAUUCUUACCGAAGCUCAUUUUCCAAGGAACAAAUAUUCCAGCAAGAUCCUGAUUUCUGCCAGCUUUCUCUUCUAACUUCCCCUUCCAGAGUUUCCUGCAUUAAACCCUGUAGAAAGCAGAUUGCAAAGGAGAGGCCUACAGAUCUGGGUUUAUCAUUGUUUGGCCUGCAAAUGUUAGCCAGCACAGUUCUUUUUAACAUUGAAUUACUUAAAAACACUUGAUGUAGGAGAUUUUUGCCGCCACCCGCACCCCCACCCACCAACAAGUCUAGAUUUCUGGUGUCUCUUGAAAAUGGUUAGAUCUGGUUACACUGGAUGUGUACUGGUAUAUGGCCACCAUCUGCUGGAACCCAGCACCUGUUAUCUGCAUUUGGACAUGCAUUUUCAGGUUUACCAACGUCUCUGUCACUCUUCUGGGGUUCCAUUUUGCCACUUUAUACACAUUGUCUUCUUGACCUUUGUAAGGAUUUGCCAUCUCAGAACUUUCUCCGGCACUCAAAUUACUGAUCUACUGACUGAUCCUCUUAAUCAUAGAACAUGAGUUAAAAAGAAACAUGUCAUCUCUUGGCUAUAGCAGAAGUUGAGGAAAAGGAUCCAAUGUAAAGAAUAUCAUGAUAUGCAGUUGCCUGGGUGAUAGUACAUAAGGGAUGGAUUGCAAAGUGGCCUGAGGAAUCUUUUGCUGGUUGUGGAAAUGAUAUGUAUCUUGAUUGUGCUAAUACUUUCAUGGGUGUACAUAACUGUCAAAAUGCAAUAAACUGUACAGUUUUAUUAUGCA
rnacentral:lncRNA from 1 species